AAAAACAAAUUACUCCCAAGUUUUCUUUUCUUUCUUCUCUUUCUUUUCUUUCCUCAAGCAACCAAAUAUGACAUGGUAGGAGGGUCGACUUCAGUGCCGAGCGGAACUAGGGCAAAAGUACAAAGGGGAGGAGAUGAUAAGAGAAAAAGAUUUUUGAAAGUUUCUUUUUCUAUUUUUAGAUCCAUGGAAGUACAACACCUUUCACUUUGACUCAAAAUCAAGACUGUCUCUCUUCAGUUUCUUGGGGCAAGCUAC
rnacentral:lncRNA from 1 species